GAGACACCCUUAUGGAGCAGGACUUGCUUCAGUGGGGCUUUGGUGCUCACUGAGUCUGUUUCUUAAGUGUGUCCCU
rfam:Myotis brandtii contig169993, whole genome shotgun sequence.